rnacentral:rRNA from 1 species
UGGGGAAUUUUGGACAAUGGGGGAAACCCUGAUCCAGCCAUCCCGCGUGUGCGAUGAAGGCCUUCGGGUUGUAAAGCACUUUUGGCAGGAAAGAAACGUCGCGGGUUAAUACCCCGCGAAACUGACGGUACCUGCAGAAUAAGCACCGGCUAACUACGUGCCAGCAGCCGCGGUAAUACGUAGGGUGCAAGCGUUAAUCGGAAUUACUGGGCGUAAAGCGUGCGCAGGCGGUUCGGAAAGAAAGAUGUGAAAUCCCAGAGCUUAACUUUGGAACUGCAUUUUUAACUACCGGGCUAGAGUGUGUCAGAGGGAGGUGGAAUUCCGCGUGUAGCAGUGAAAUGCGUAGAUAUGCGGAGGAACACCGAUGGCGAAGGCAGCCUCCUGGGAUAACACUGACGCUCAUGCACGAAAGCGUGGGGAGCAAACAGGAUUAGAUACCCUGGUAGUCCACGCCCUAAACGAUGUCAACUAGCUGUUGGGGGCCUUCGGGCCUUGGCAGCGCAGCUAACGCGUGAAGUUGACCGCCUGGGGGAGUACGGUCGCAAGAUUAAAACUCAAAUGAAUUG